rnacentral:rRNA from 1 species
CUGGGGGAUAACAGCCAGAAAUGACUGCUAAUACCGCAUAAGCGCACAGAACCGCAUGGUUCGGUGUGAAAAACUCCGGUGGUAUAAGAUGGACCCGCGUUGGAUUAGCUAGUUGGCAGGGCAGCGGCCUACCAAGGCGACGAUCCAUAGCCGGCCUGAGAGGGUGAACGGCCACAUUGGGACUGAGACACGGCCCAGACUCCUACGGGAGGCAGCAGUGGGGAAUAUUGCACAAUGGGGGAAACCCUGAUGCAGCGACGCCGCGUGAAGGAAGAAGUAUCUCGGUAUGUAAACUUCUAUCAGCAGGGAAGAUAAUGACGGUACCUGACUAAGAAGCCCCGGCUAACUACGUGCCAGCAGCCGCGGUAAUACGUA